GUUUGUCUCCACCAGGGGGCGAAGGCCGGGGGUGGAGGCUCCAUCCAAAGCACAGUCUCUGCCUCUCUUCGUAGUAUGAGCUGAGUCUGUCCGGGACAGACCAGGGAAGAUGGCGGCCACUGACCAUUCCCGGUCCGAAGCUGCCAAACAGCGUCGGCAGGACCAGUUGCAGCGAUGGAUGGGCUCGGAGACGGAUCGGACUGAAUCGGAGGCCCGGGAAUCUGCGGGCGGCUCCGUAACGAGGAAAACGAAAGUCCGUUUCGCUCAGGGAGCCGUGUUUAUGGCCGCCUGCUCCGCCGGAGACCGGGAGGAGGUGGCGACACUGCUUCGGCAAGGAGCUGACAUUAACCACGCCAACAUUGACGGGCUGACAGCGCUGCACCAGGCCUGCAUUGAUGAAAACGCUGAGAUGGUCCAGUUUCUGGUGGAGAACGGGAGUGACGUCAACAGGGGCGACAACGAGGGCUGGACUCCUUUGCACGCUGCCGCGUCAUGCGGAUUCAUCCAGAUCACAAAGUUCCUGAUCGAGCACGGCGCUCAAGUCGGAGCAGUGAACAGUGAAGGAGAACUUCCUCUGGACGUGGCCACCGAAGAUGCCAUGGAGAGACUGCUAAAGGCUGAAAUCAAGAAACAAGGUAUCGACCUGGACAAGGCCAGGAAGGAGGAGGAGAGGGUCAUGCUCCAGGAUGCCAUGGAGGUUUUGGAAAAAGGUGGAACCCUCACCCCUCACCCAAACACCAAGGCUACCGCACUGCACGUGGCUGCUGCCAAAGGCUACAUCGAAGUUCUGAAGGUUUUAUUACAGUGUGCUGUGGACGUGGACAGCCGGGACACGGACGGCUGGACGCCCCUGCAUGCAGCAGCUCACUGGGGACAGGAGGAGGUGUGCAGCCUGCUCGCCGACAACAUGUGCAACAUGGGAGCCGUCAACAACGUGGGCCAGACACCUCUGGAUGUCGCAGACGAGAACCUGGUGGACACGCUUGAGGAGCUGCAGAAGAAACAGAACGCCUUACGUAGCGAGAAAGAGAAACAGACACCUGUUAUUGAGACCAGCCCGCCCAUCUCCAUGGUACCGGUGCGCACCCGCAGGAGUUCUAUCUCUCGUAUGAGCAGCAAGGAGAAGAUCUGCCUUCACGAGCGGGAGAAACACCCUCCCCCCGCCCUGCAGAUCAGUCCAGCCGAGGAUGAGGAGGAGGAAGGCCAGGCGGGACAGAACCAACCCCAGGGCCAGACCAAGGCGUCCAGCAGCUCCAGCUCAGAGGAGGAGAGCGAGUCUGAGAGUGAUGCUGAGUCAGAAAAAGCCAAAAACCGAGAAAUCAUAAACAAUUUGAACAACAAACGCAACACCACUGGCCUGCUUCCUACCUCUAUGUCAACAAGUACUGCUGCCAGCCAAGUGAAAAAGCAGGAACCAAGCAAACCUGCAGUUACUGAGGCUCCAGGCUCCUGGAGGACAUCUCUGAGGAAGGCGGGCAGCUCUGUGACUCUGGGCUCAGUGGGUCUGUCCGACUCGAACCAGGACACGGCCAGAACUUCAGAGUCGGGUCUGGGCAUGAUACGCUCGGCAUCCAGCCCACGUCUCAGCUCUGAGGCUGACACAAAGGAACCAAGACUCGCUCGCGUUCCCCCUAUUCCUACUCGGAGACUCUUCAGUAUCCCGGACAGCAGCGCUGAAAACUCCAACAGCUGGCUCAGCCGUAGCUCCUCUUACUCUCGAAGGCUUCACAGUCAAACAGGAAACGAUUUCACUAGUUCCUCCCCGUAUUUGCUUCACAGUUCAUCGUAUGGAAGGAGACUGGAUGACCCGACCUUGACCUCGGCCGGCUCCACAGGACUCAGUCGUUUGAAUAGCGUUUUGGGACAAAGGCAUUCUCAGGACCAGACAGAGAAAAAGGAGCAGCCUGUUUCCACCUACACCUCUCAGAACACCACAACAGGAGAACAGGAAACCAAACAGAGGCGCAAGUCUUAUCUGACACCAGUGCGAGAUGAAGAGGCAGAGGCACAGAGGAAGGCUCGUUCCAGACACGCACGACAAUCCCGCCGCUCCACUCAGGGAGUCACGCUGACAGACCUGCAAGAGGCAGAGAAGACGAUAAAAACCAUGAAGACAGAAAACAAGGGAAAAGAGAAAGAGGAGGAGGAGGAGAAAGAGAAGGACUCCAAAGUGAAGAAAGAGAGAGGAGAGGAGGGGGAAGUGAGUUGGAGAUCUCGCAUCGCCAGUCUGCAGAAAUCUGACCUGCUGGGACUCACGCAGCCUGCUGGUACUCCACGGCCUCAGACCUCUGAACACCGAGAUGUUGAGGUGGAGAGUGAAGCGAUGCGCUGGAGCAGGGAGCGUAGGGAGAAGAGACAAGCUCGGGCCAGAAGGAAGGCACAGAGGAGUGGAGAGAGUGACGACAAUGAACCCAGUGGAGAAGAAGAAUUCUCAGGCAGUGGGCUGGAUCCACAAACAGAACACCAUUUGACUUCCAGGUCAGGUUUGUCCUGCAAUGACUGUGGCCUAGGACGUGAAUCUGAGAGCAAAGACUUUAAAAAGCUGUUCGAGGAGGUGACCAGAGAAAACAGCCAGCUCCAGACUCAGCUGCAGGACACCCAGAGGAUCAUCGGUCAGACCAGGUUGGACCUGGAAAAGGCCACACAGAGACAGGAGCGUUUCAGUGACUGCUCUGCUCUGCUGGAGCUGGAGAGGAAGGAUCGGAGGAUGCUGGAGCGGCGAAUGGCAGAGCUGGAGGAGGAACUGAAGUAAUCUAAGGAUUGUCAUUGCGACACAGCACACACUGAAAUGUGACCUCUGCAUUUUACCCAUCACCAAAGUUCUGGUUGACCUGAGAGCAGACAACCAGCGUCUGAAGGAUGAAAAUGGAGCACUGAUCCGUGUCAUCAGCAAACUCUCCAAAUAGAUCUGGAGAGAGAGAGAGAGACUGACAGAGAGAGUGCCACGAAGAGCAGGGAACCCCUCUCCCCUUUCUCCCCCCAUCCCUCCUUUUACACAUUCUUCCCAGUGCCAAAGAAUUAAAGAGGAGAGCGGAGCAUCAGAAUGUGCGUCGUUCACGCGCCCACAUUUCACUCGGACUGUGAUGCCUCUCAGUCAACAGCUGCUGGGGCCUUUGUGUGCCUUAGUGCGCUUUCCUCACAGGUAAAAAAAAAACAGACACAAAUGUCUGCAGUGCCCAUGGUCAGAGGCUCUGGCGGUAGAACCAGAAUAAUCCCAAACUCUUACAUAUUGGAGAACAUACACAUUGAAUAACACACGCACCCACAUUCCUGUGUCCAUCACAUACUUCCUCUAUGCACAUUCCACUGAGCGCACAAGGCAGUUUGGCCCUUAAAAAUGUGCCACUUGUUUGUUCCUUUAUUAUAAUAAUGUUAUAGAUCCACACGAGUGUCACUGUUUUGUUCCACACACACACACACACACACAGUCCAAAAACAAAGGUGUCUACCAGUGAGAGUGACGUUGGGAAUUGUUCAUCAAGCCAGACCAAACUGAACUCAAUAUUCUUUUUUUUUUUUUCAUUUUCUUUUCCACACAAGUGUUUUGACCCAACUACCUCUCCACCUCUGCACACCCCCCCAAAGUUCUUUUCUUUUUUUUUCUUCUUAUAAGCGUUUGUGACCACAGACACACACCAGUCUCUCAGGUCGUUGGACCUCAGCACUUUACUCUCAGCAAAGCCGUAACAGUCUUCGUCCCUCCUUCCACACGGACGACCUCGGAGCAGCACCUUCUCACUCCAUAGGUGGAGGAAUUUAAAGUCGUUGCGCAAUAAACUAAGGGUGGCUGCUCUGUUUAGAUCUAUCAUGCAAUUAAUGAUUUUUUUUUUUUCCAGAUGUCAUCGAUGAGAUAUUUUCAUUGUCAUUUCCAUUUGCUAUGAAGCACAAAUGUAUUUUACAUGUGUAAAAAAACAAAAUGGUUUUGAAGAAUAGCCCUUUGAAAUAAACUGCCAUGUAGCCUUUUUCACAUGAUGGGUUUCUAAUAUAUUCCAUGGAUGCCUUCACCCCAAUAAAAGAAGUGUUUGUA